UUCAUGAUUUAAUUUGUAAUUGAUAUAUAAUUAUAAAACAUUACUUAAGUUUCAGGUGUAUGACAUGGUUUGAUAUUUGUAUACAUCGUGAAAUGAUCACCACAAUGUCUAGCUAACAUCUAUCACCACACGUAGUUACAAUUUUUUUUCUCGUGAUGAGAACUUUUAAGAUCUACUCUCUUGGAACUUCCCUGGCGGCGGUCCAGUGGCUAAGACUCUGCACUCACCGCAGCUGCAGAUCCCACAGGUAGCAACGAAGAUGCCGCGGUGCAGCCAAAUAAAUAAAAAAAAUAAAUAUUAAAGAUUUACUCUCUUAGCAAUUUCUGAAUUAUGAUACAGUAUUAUUAACUUUAGUCACCAUGCAGGACACCCAUGACUUAUUUAUCUUAACUGGGAAUUUGUAGAUAUUUAUUUAUUUAUUUGCUGUGUAAAUACACAGGCAGACACUUGCAAAACAGGGCUUGUCAAAUUGAAAUGUGCAUAGGAGUUACCUGGGGAUCUUGUUAAAGUGGAGAUCCUGAACAGCAGGUCUGAGGAAGGACCUGACAACCCGCAUCUCUAACCAGCUCCCCGGUGUUGCCCAGCAGCUGCUCCACUGGCGCUGGCGGGAGAAGGAUGCUUCCUGUUCCCUGGGCCCACACACCACUCUGCCUUCCCAGCAGGACCUCGGCCCGGGCCAUCCCCUCACCAGGCCGGAGCAAGGGGCAGCCCUGUCGGGACGGCCCAGAACAAACACUGCCCAGGAAAGCGCCCGCCCUGCUGCCAAGCCUCAUUCCCGGCACCCAUGUGGCUGGGUGCCCGCUGCCGCUGCCGAGACAGCAGUUCCCACAGGAGGAGCCCGCCCUGGGGCAGGAGCUCAAGCCUUGACAGCAGAGGUGGACGAUGCUCAGCCAACCCCUGGCCAGGUCUGCUCCCCUUUGGGCUCAAGGCCCUGGCUUUGACAUGAUUUUAGUGGUGAGCCUGUGUCAGGCUCGGGUGGAAAUGUGAGUGUGUUUUCUGUGACCCGAUCAUAGCCCAACCCAGAAUAAGGGUGGGGUUCUGUUUGGGCCUGGGUGGAGAUCUUCAUCACUGGGCUCAAGUCCAGUUUAUGACCAAGGUCAGGGCUCAUCCUGGGAGCAAGGAGCAGGGAGCAAGGAGAAGCAGCCCUUGGUCCCUCCCAGGGCAGACCCAGCCCAGGAGGGUGAGUCAGGCAGUCCGUCUGGGAGUCCACAGGCCUUCCUUUAGUCUCUUGGACUGGAGCACAGGCUCUGGUGAAGGUGAUGCCCAGGCUCUCUGGUCUCCUCAGGUGUGUCUUAAGGGGAGGUGACCUCUCACCUCCACCCAACAUCCUCCCAGACAACCUGCCUCCCAGGACUCUGGACUCUCUUUCUGCUGGUCCUGCUCUAGGCUCUGAAGUUUAUAGAGGCAAGUGGUGCGGAUCAUGGUCUCUAACUGUCCUCAGGGCUCUGUCCAGAGGUAAGCUGAUGAAUUGGCUAGCUGGGAAAAAUAACCAAAAACCCUCCACUGUGGCUGAUUGCAAGCCACCCAUGCGAUGUCACUGCAUGUAGAGUUGGGAAGAGAUUCACAGAAUCAGCUCUUGCAAGCAGGUACGAGCCAGCUCCAGCACACCACUCGCUGUGUCCCAGGACAGUCCCACUGCUGUCCACAGGGCAGGUAGGGGCUCAGGUCCCACUAGCUCACAGGGUCAGGGUGCCCUCGAGGGUUUCCUGUCCUGUCCUUGUGCCCGUUGGUAUGAAGGUGACGGUGAUUAUGAUCGUGAUUGACGUUGUGAUUGUGAUGGUUGAGGCUUCCCUUGCUACCACUGACCUCAGUCAAGGAAGUACCUCUGUCCCCCAAGGGAAACUGCCAGGAGGUGUGUACCCAGGAGUACAAUGGCCGAUUAGGUCCUCCCCAGGGCUGUAUCAUGGCUCUUUCCAGGACACUGGAAGCCUGAUGUGGCCUUAUGGACAGAUGUCCUGCCAUCUCCUACUCCCCCUUUGCAUUGAUGAACUAGCCUCAUACCUCACUGAGGAAACAGGAGCCCAAUGUGUGGGAAGCCCAGCCCUUACCUCUACUGACCCUGUACCCCUCCCUGCACUCGGCCCAUCUUCUCCUUCCCUACUCAUUCCUGAGAACGAGGCCCUCCGCUUAUCAAAGGAUGUCGCUUAGUGGCUUCCCAUUGAUGGGAAUAAAAAUCCCACUUCUUUCCCCAGCUGAUUUUAUUUUACUUUAUUUAUUUAUCGUUUUGGCCCUGCCACAUGGCAUGCGGGAUCUUAGUUCCCCUACCUGGGAUCAAACCCGUGCCCCCUGCAGUGGAAGUGCGGAGUCUCAACCACUGGACCGCCAGGUAAGUCCCUCCCCGGCUGACUUUAACCUCACCUCCUCCCACCCUGGCUUCCCAUGCUGCAGCUACUUGGGCCACCUUUCUGUUCCACAAGCACAGCAAGUUUGUUGCGGCCUCGGAGUCCACAGUCGCCCCAGAUCUCUGCACAACAGCUUCAGCUUCAGCUCAGAGUCCUUCCCUGACCUCCCCCUCUUAAGGGGCUCCCCCAGUUCCUCUCCAUCUCAUCCUCCUUGUGUUUCCUGCCCUGCAGUGUUGUCUACUUAUGUGUUACUGAUUCGACUGUCUUCCCCAUUAGAUUGUAAGCUCCACGGUACAGGGACCUCAUUCUCUGCUGUAUCUGGUACCUGGUCUGUGCCCAAUAAAAGGAUA